AAAUUGUAUUUUCGGAGUAUGUGGUAAAUAUAUAAUACAGGAAAUUAUCAAAUUCGAUCUUCUCGAAAAUUUAUUUGGAAAAAUUUUAUUUCUUCUUUCCGAUUUAUUUUUUCAUGAAAAGUUUCACGAAUAAUGAAAUAUUUUACACGUACAAGUAUCUAUUAUAAAUAUUCAAUAUUUAAAUGUGUAUGCAUACACACAUACAGGAUAUAUAUAUGACCUAUUUAAAUCGACUUAUUUAAGUAGCGAUCAAAAUGAUUGAUAAAACUAGCAAAUGUUUCGAAAACAUUUAGUUUCGAGUGGCACGUAAUGAGAUGUAAACUUUCCCUGGAUGCGUGAAGGACAUUCGAAGGUCAACUUUGUUUUCUCAAAUUGAAUCAUAUAUAGAUAUAUUUUAUAACAUACCGGUUAAUUUAAAUCGCCAUCAAGUCAUACGACGAAAAAUCAUUUGUUCGGAACAUUAAAAAAAAAAUCUUCGAUUAUUAAAACUUGCUGCAUUGAAAGAGUACGCGAAACGAUGAUCCAUCUAUUUAUAUUUUUCUUGUUCUUCGUAGUGCAAUAAAUUAUAAAAUUAUAAAAUGUAAAAAAACAAAGUUGAACUUGAUAUAUAUAAUCUUCACGUAUUCAAUUAAAUCUUUCAUCCCGUUACACGCUUUUAAAAUCAAAUUUUCGAAAAUAAUGGAUUUUAACGAGUCAACUUAACGUAAUCUUACACACGUACGUGCGAUAUAUACAUUUAUAUAUUUAUUCCAUAAAAUAUAUUGCUCAGUUUUUCCAAAAUCGGUUGAACGAUGCCGUCGUUUGUAAUCACGUAUACCGCUCGUCAUCAAUACGGCGAUGGAGAAACGAGAAACGUAUUUUAAAAAGGUUCCUCAAUCAUUGACUCGAAAAACACGCGAUCGAGCGAUUAGCGGAGCAAAGCUUGUUUACUCUCACCGUCACGUUCGUUCGGUUUAAUCGGCGGGACUCGGCUAUUCGGUCCAGCUUUUUCGAAAGAGAGUAACGACGGGGCGGGGAUUUUUUACGAGGAAAGUAAAACGAAACGGCCCAUAAAACCGUACCACGCCGCAAUUCCAUCUCUCUUCGGCACCGUCUGAAAUCGCAUAAACUUUGCAACAAACUUCCUCAUCUUGCGCGCGCAUCCUUCCCCCACCACGGCCGCGCUAACGAAACGAAGAGAGAAGAUGGAAACACGGUGUUGAACGGUGGCACGCUUUACGACCCUCGAAUAUCUGGACUUUCAGGAAUUUUUUAACUUCGGAACUGCGUAGAUUAUUCUUGCCAACCGAACGAGUUAACAUUCCCGCGGCCGACGUAUUAUUGGCCACGUCUUCGGUUCACUACGUUUUCGAAUAAUUAUCGCGAAAUCGUGAUUCUUCGUCGGUUAACAGCUCGGAGGAUAUUUUACGACACGAAAUGGCUGUCGGAGAUAUUCGGUAGAUGUGUAUGUGACGGGUUCGCAGAAAAUUGAUAUCUCCGCGAAUGUUAAUGAGAUGCUUUCGUAUAUUUUUAUUACGAGGCGAUUAUAAAUUGCAAUUAUAAAGAAAUAAAAAGUGGUUUCUGUGUGUGUGUUACGGUAAUACACGUAAGGAUUAUUCAUCGAGAGAAUUUUUAACGGGCAAGGAAACGGUGUUUUUCGUAAUCGUCAGAUUUACUUCUCUUUGUAAGAUUUGAAAAUGAAAUUGAAGCUCGAGAGACAGCUCGUUUCGACGCUAAUGGAGAAAGUACAUCCGCAGCGGUUGGAUCUCGAGAGAGCAUGCGAGUCAGGGAGGAGUCUCGAAAAAUUAAAAGGGAGAAACAGCAGUCUUCCUCUAUCGAGCAAAUAAGGAUCGACCUUCGAGAGAUUCCACCGACGCUGCUUUCGUCUCCUUGACCCCGAUCGAAUCCUCGAUAUUCGAUUCGAGCAAACACUGCGUUCGGAAAAUUGGCCUACUACCACCUUUCGUGCCAGCCCCACCAACUCUACCACGGGCUUUUAGAUCGAUUCGAUAGAUGGGACGCGAAAAACGAUUGAAAUCUUUUCGUUUUAUAGUUUGACCUUAGAAACACGAUAAUUUUAACGAUCCUUUAUUCUGAGAAGAGAAAUUAGGUAGGAUCGAUGAGAGUUCUCAUUACAUCCUUUCGUGAUCUUUUCCAAAAUUAUAUUUUUCUUAUUUAUUCGAAUUAUAUCGAUUUCUUUAGAAAAAAAAUAUAGUCAUAUUGUAUCACGAAAUAAAAUGAAAAAUAAAAGAAAGAAAAA